UACGUAGGUGGCAAGCGUUAUCCGGAAUUAUUGGGCGUAAAGCGCGCGCAGGUGGUUUCUUAAGUCUGAUGUGAAAGCCCACGGCUCAACCGUGGAGGGUCAUUGGAAACUGGGAGACUUGAGUGCAGAAGAGGAAAGUGGAAUUCCAUGUGUAGCGGUGAAAUGCGUAGAGAUAUGGAGGAACACCCGUGGCGAAGGCGGCCAACUGGGCCGGUUCUGACGCUGAGGCGCGAAAGCGUGGGGAGCAAACAGG
rnacentral:rRNA from 1 species